rnacentral:rRNA from 1 species
ACUACGGGAGGCAGCAGUGGGGGAUAUUGCACAAUGGGGGAAACCCUGAUGCAGCGACGCCGCGUGGGUGAAGAAGCGCCUCGGCGCGUAAAGCCCUGUCAGCAGGGAAGAAAAUGACGGUACCUGAAGAAGAAGCCCCGGCUAACUACGUGCCAGCAGCCGCGGUAAAACGUAGGGGGCAAGCGUUAUCCGGAUUUACUGGGUGUAAAGGGGGCGCAGGCGGGGUUACAAGCCAGGGGUGAAAGCCCGGGGCCCAACCCCGGGACUGCUCUUGGAACUGCGUGGCUAGAGUGCAGGAGGGGCAGGCGGAAUUCCGGGUGUAGCGGUGAAAUGCGUAGAUAUCAGGAGGAACACCGGUGGCGAAGGCGGCCUGCUGGACUGCAACUGACGUUGAGGCCCGAAAGCGUGGGGAGCGAACAGGAUUAGAUACCCUGGUAGUC